rnacentral:misc_RNA from 1 species
GAUGAAGAACGUAGCAAAAUGCGAUACUUGGUGUGAAUUGCAGAAUCCCGUGAACCAUCGAGUCUUUGAACGCAAGUUGCGCCCGAAGCCAUUAGGUCGAGGGCAUGCCUGCCUGGGCGUCACCCACCCGUCGCCCCCCUCCCCCCCAAAGCCGUGCGCUGGGGGACGCGGAGCGGGGGCGGACAUUGGCCUCCCGUGGACGCCCUACGUCCGCGGUUGGCCGAAAAUCGGUCCCGCGGCGGCGUACGCCACGACAAGCGGUGGUCUAACAAACCCCUCCCCCCAUCGAGGAGGAGAAGCCCGGAGUCGUGCGCGCCGCGUCGCCUCGGUGGCCCCCUGAUUGAAAGGCCCGACACCCUCGAUAGUGACCCCAGGUCAGGCAGGAACACCCGCUGAGUUUAAGCAUAUCAAUAAGCGGAGGA